rnacentral:rRNA from 1 species
AGAGUUUGAUUCUGGCUCAGAUCGAACGCUGGCAGCGUGGAUGAGGCAUGCAAGUCGAACGGUCAGUGGCUGGUAGCAAUAUUGGCUGCUGAUAGUGGCGGAAGGGCGAGUAAUGCGAGAGCAAGCUGCCCCCCGAUUCGGAACAACGGCUGGAAACGGCCGCUAAUGCCGGAUGCGAACGGAGCGCCGCAUGGCGCUUCGUUGAAAGGCCGGGACCCGCGAGGGCCGGCCGUCGGGGGAGGCGCUCCCGUGCCAUCGGCUAGUUGGCGAGGUAACGGCUCACCAAGGCUCACGGCUAGGUGGACUGAGAGGUUGGUCACCCGCACUGGGACUGAGACACUGCCCAGACUCCUACGGGAGGCUGCAGUCGAGGAUCAUUUGCAAUGGGCGAAAGCCUGACAAUGCGACGCUGCGUGCAGGAUGAAGGCCUUCGGGUUGUAAACUGCUGUUAGGAGGGAAAAGGACGCGGAUCCGAACAAGGUCUGCCGUUUGAUUGUACCUCCAGAGAAAGUCGCGGCUAACUCUGUGCCAGCAGCCGCGGUAAUACAGAGGCGACAAGCGUUGUUCGGAUUUACUGGGCGUAAAGCGUGCGCAGGCGGCGGGACAUGUCCAAUGUGAAAUCCCGGGGCUCAGCCCCGGAAGUGCAUUGGAAACCGUCCUGCUGGAGGCCGGGAAGGGAGUCUGGAACACACGGUGUAGCGGUGAAAUGCGUUGAUAUCGUGUGGAACACCGGAAGCGAAGGCGAGACUCUGGAACGGCACUGACGCUCAUGCACGAAAGCGUGGGGAGCAAACAGGAUUAGAUACCCUGGUAGUCCACGCCGUAAACGGUGCGCAUUCGCCGUGGGGGGAAUUGUCCCCCCCCGUGGCUUAGCAAACGCGAUAAAUGCGCCGCCUGGGGAGUACGGCCGCAAGGUUAAAACUCAAAGAAAUUGACGGGGGCCCGCACAAGCGGAGGAGCAUGUGGCUUAAUUCGAUGCAACGCGAAGAACCUUACCUGGGCUUGACAUCCCCGGCGAAUCCC